GGCUCUCUGGGUGAUUUAGAUAGAGAGUCGGACCUGCCCGGUGAAAGAUUUUAACGGCCGCGGUACUCUGACCGUGCAAAGGUAGCAUAAUCAUUUGCCUUAUAAUUGAAGGCUUGUAUGAAUGGUUUGACAAGAAUAUAGCUGUCUCUAUAUAAUUAUAUAGAAUUUUAUUUUGAAGUGAAGAAGCUUGAAUAAAAUUAAUAGACAAGAAGACCCUAUCGAGCUUGAAAUAAAUAUGUAAAGGAAAAUUAAUUUAAUUAGAAAUUUGAUUAUAUAAUAUUUUAGUUGGGGCGACUUAGGAACAAAAAAAGCUUCCUAGAAGUUGAUAAAACACAAGAUGAUCCAAAAUAUUUUGAUUAAUGAAAUUAGUUACCGUAGGGAUAACAGCAUUAUCUUCUUUAAGAGUUCUAAUCGAAAAGAGGGUUUGUGACCUCGAUGUUGGACCAGAAUAUCCUAAAGAUGCAGCAGUCUUUAAGGGUUGGUCUGUUCGACCAUUAAAAUUCUACG
rnacentral:rRNA from 1 species